UUGCAGCUUAUUAAGCCGACUGGUCAUGCUGCUGUGCAUUUCUGGUGUGCAAAAGCUGCAGACAGCAACUCUUUGGUUGUGUAUGUCCUCAGCUGUGAGGUGCUGAGUUCUUUAAGGGACCACUGAGACAAAU